AUGAUCUUUUCAUUGAUCUAUCAUUCCAAAUUUCAGGUAAUGGACCUGCUUGGUCCUAGCCCCUCUGCCCCUGGGAUGUUUGGCAUUCACUCGGACAGGAUGACAGGAUGUCAUUUCAAAUGGUUGCUUGUAUUGCCGUUAGGCCAUAUUAAUUAUUGCGAAGAUUCGCUCCAAAGCUUUGUGCAUGGUGAUGUAAAACCUGAAACCUUUUGCUUGGUCAGCCUGGAUCCGCUCAAGAAAAGAAGUUUUUCUCAUGAAUUUGGUUACUUUAUUAUUGAUGGCUUAUUACUGCAGGGAGGUAACAUAAGUUUUCUUGUCUGUAAGAGGAAAAUGGAGACUUCUCCAGAUAUGUUAUGUAGAUUCUGUCCAGCUCCAUUCAAGCAUUUUCUUGAGACUGUCACUUGUAUGAAAUCUGGCAAAGAACCAAAGUACAAAAAACGUGUUUCUCUCUUUGAUGAUUUAAUCGAAAGGACCUGCUUCGAGACCCAUCAGGAUCUAUGGAGCUCUAGAGGACUGCACUGCUUUAUCCACAACAUGUAUCUGUGCUUGUCAAUUUAA
rnacentral:rRNA from 1 species